AGCAGCCGCGGUAAUUCCAGCUCCAAUAGCGUAUAUUAAAGUUGUUGCAGUUAAAAAGCUCGUAGUUGAAUUUCGGGAUUGACGUGAUGGUCAUGCCUUAAGGGGUAUGAACUGUCACAGUUGAUUUCUCACCUUCUGGAGAAACUUGAUGUCCUUUAUUGGGUGUCUUGCGGAUCCAGGACCUUUACCUUGAAAAAAUUAGAGUGUUUAAAGCAGGCAUUUUUGCUCGAAUACAUUAGCAUGGAAUAAUAGAAUAGGACGGCAUGGUUCUAUUUUGUUGGUUUCUAGGACCACCGUAAUGAUUAAUAGGGAUAGUUGGGGGCAUUAGUAUUCAAUUGUCAGAGGUGAAAUUCUUGGAUUUAUUGAAGACUAACUACUGCGAAAGCAUUUGCCAAGGAUGUUUUCAUUAAUCAAGAACGAAAGUUAGGGGAUCGAAGACGAUCAGAUACCGUCGUAGUCUUAACCAUAAACUAUGCCGACUAGGAAUCAGACGAUGUUAAUUUUUUAAUGACUCGUUUGGCACCUUACG
rnacentral:rRNA from 1 species